UACGGAGGGUGCAAGCGUUAAUCGGAAUUACUGGGCGUAAAGAGCACGCAGGCGGAUUGUUAAGUCAGAUGUGAAAUCCCCGGGCUCAACCUGGGAACUGCAUCUGAUACUGGCAAGCUUGAGUCUCGUAGAGGGGGGUAGAAUUCCAGGUGUAGCGGUGAAAUGCGUAGAGAUCUGGAGGAAUACCGGUGGCGAAGGCGGCCCCCUGGACGAAGACUGACGCUCAGGCGCGAAAGCGUGGGGAGCAAACAGG
rnacentral:rRNA from 1 species